CCUGGCUCAGGAUGAACGCUGGCGGCGUGCCUAACACAUGCAAGUCGAGCGGAGAUAGGUUGAAGCCUAGCGAUUCCUAUCUUAGCGGCGGAUGGGUGAGUAACACGUGGGUAACCUGCCCUGUACUGGGGGAGUAACAGCUGGAAACGGCUGUUAAUACCGCAUAUGCGCACGGAGCCGCAUGGCCCUGGGCGGAAAGAUUCAUCGGUACAGGAUGGGCCCGCGCCGGAUUAACUUGUUGGCGGGGUAACGGCCCACCAAGGUGAUGAUCCGUAGCCGACCUGAGAGGGUGACCGGCCACAUUGGGACUGAGACACGGCCCAAACUCCUACGGGAGGCAGCAGUGGGGGAUAUUGCACAAUGGGGGAAACCCUGAUGCAGCGACGCCGCGUGAAGGAAGAAGUAUUUCGGUAUGUAAACUUCUAUCAGCGGGGAAGAAGAUGACGGUACCCGCACAAGAAGCCCCGGCUAACUACGUGCCAGCAGCGGC
rnacentral:rRNA from 1 species